GGAAUAUUGCGCAAUGGGCGAAAGCCUGACGCAGCGACGCCGCGUGGAGGAUGACGGUCUUCGGAUUGUAAACUCCUGUUAAGCGGGAAGAAAGGUCCCUGUCUAAUAAAUCGGGAAGAUGACGGUACCGCUAGAGAAAGCACCGGCUAAAUUCGUGCCAGCAGCCGCGGUAAUACGAAGGGUGCAAACGUUAUUCGGAAUCAUUGGGCGUAAAGGGUGCGUAGACGGUUCAGAAAGUUGGUUGUUAAAUCCCCCGGCCUAACCGGGGACCAGCAGUAAAAACUCCUGGACUAGAGGAUAGAAGAAAGAAGUGGAAUUCUCGGAGUAGCGGUAAAAUGCGUAGAUAUCGAGAGGAACACCGAUGGCGAAGGCAGCUUCUGAGUCUAUUCCUGACGUUGAGGCACGAAAGCGUGGGUAGCAA
rnacentral:rRNA from 1 species